UACGGAGGGGGCUAGCGUUGUUCGGAAUUACUGGGCGUAAAGCGCACGUAGGCGGCUUUGUAAGUUAGAGGUGAAAGCCCGGAGCUCAACUCCGGAAUUGCCUUUAAGACUGCAUCGCUAGAAUUGUGGAGAGGUGAGUGGAAUUCCGAGUGUAGAGGUGAAAUUCGUAGAUAUUUGGAAGAACACCAGUGGCGAAGGCGACUCACUGGACACAUAUUGACGCUGAGGUGCGAAAGCGUGGGGAGCAAACAGG
rnacentral:rRNA from 1 species